UUUUUGGCUAGGGUUGGACAUAUACAUGGAGAAGUAAAUAUCAUGAGUUGAUUCAAAUUUUGAUACCAACUGGAGUUAAAAGGAAUGCUUCGGAUUCUUGGAGAUGGAGAAACAAAAAUUCUGGUAUGCAUUCCACGAGGUCGGCAUACGAGGUGUUGACAUAUAUAUAAUGAUGAAGUUGACCUUGUCAAUCAAUUCUACCCUCUGUGGUGGCGUUUGAAGAUCUCCAAUAAAGUAGCUUUCAUGAUUUUGAGGGAUACUAUUAUGACUAGAAGCAUUGAUCAACAAAACCAAGAACCAGGAACCUGCAUAACCAAGCAAGGAUGCAAAACCAAAUAAUGGCCAAAAAGGGAAAUCAACAAACCCCACUACCUUAAGGAUUUUGUUUAGCAAAUUAGGAAGUAAUGGCUGAGCUUGUAGCUGAAUAGUGGCACUCUAGAUGCUUUGUCGGUUGAAUAUUCCAUUCCGUUAAGAAUUGUCCCCUUUGAUUUUGUCAUUGUUUUCCUUCAAGGCACAUAAUGCCAAAUCCGUUAGAGAUUUGUUAGCUGCAUUUCUAUAUAUAUAGGAAUGAUGUAUUCUAAUGGAUAAGCAUAAAUAAAAUCUCUUUUCCUCA